rnacentral:rRNA from 1 species
UACGAAGGGUGCAAGCGUUAAUCGGAAUUACUGGGCGUAAAGCGUGCGUAGGCGGUUUGUUAAGUCUGCUGUGAAAUCCCCGGGCUCAACCUGGGAACUGCAUUUGUGACUGCAUAGCUAGAGUACGGUAGAGGGGGAUGGAAUUCCGCGUGUAGCAGUGAAAUGCGUAGAUAUGCGGAGGAACACCGAUGGCGAAGGCAAUCCCCUGGACCUGUACUGACGCUCAUGCACGAAAGCGUGGGGAGCAAACAGG